UACGUAGGGACCAAGCGUUGUUCGGAUUCACUGGGCGUAAAGGGUGCGUAGGUGGCUACUUUAAGUUUGAUGUGAAAGCUCCGGGCUCAACCCGGAAAUGGCAUUGAAGACUAUUGAGCUAGAGGUUUGGAGGGGGACUGGAAUGCUUGGUGUAGCAGUGAAAUGCGUAGAUAUCAAGCGGAACACCGGUGGCGAAGGCGAGUCCCUGGACAACACCUGACACUGAGGCACGAAAGCUAGGGGAGCAAACAGG
rnacentral:rRNA from 1 species